rnacentral:rRNA from 1 species
AUUGAACGCUGGCGGCAGGCCUAACACAUGCAAGUCGAGCGGCUGCAGGGAGCUUGCUCCUGGAUCCAGCGGCGGACGGGUGAGUAAUGCCUAGGAAUCUGCCUGGUAGUGGGGGAUAACGUCCGGAAACGGGCGCUAAUACCGCAUACGUCCUGAGGGAGAAAGUGGGGGAUCUUCGGACCUCACGCUAUCAGAGGAGCCUAGGUCGGAUUAGCUAGUUGGUGGGGUAAAGGCCUACCAAGGCGACGAUCCGUAACUGGUCUGAGAGGAUGAUCAGUCACACUGGAACUGAGACACGGUCCAGACUCCUACGGGAGGCAGCAGUGGGGAAUAUUGGACAAUGGGCGAAAGCCUGAUCCAGCCAUGCCGCGUGUGUGAAGAAGGUCUUCGGAUUGUAAAGCACUUUAAGUUGGGAGGAAGGGCAGUAAGUUAAUACCUUGCUGUUUUGACGUUACCAACAGAAUAAGCACCGGCUAACUUCGUG